rnacentral:rRNA from 1 species
AUACGGAGGGUGCAAGCGUUGUUCGGAAUCACUGGGCGUAAAGGGCGCGCAGGCGGUUUGGUAAGUCAGAUGUGAAAGCCCAUGGCUCAACCAUGGAAGUGCAUUUGAAACUGUCAGACUUGAGUACUAGAGGGGAAAGUGGAAUUCCCGGUGUAGAGGUGAAAUUCGUAGAUAUCGGGAGGAAUACCGGUGGCGAAGGCGACUUUCUGGCUAGAUACUGACGCUGAGGCGCGAAAGCGUAGGGAGCAAACAGGAUUAGAAACCCGAGUAGUCC